UACAUGGGGUGCAAACGUUGCUCGGAAUUAUUGGGCGUAAAGCGCACGUAGGCGGUUCGUUAAGUCGGAUGUGAAAGCCCUCGGCUCAACUGAGGAAGUGCACCCGAAACUGGCGAGCUUGAGUACGAAAGAGGAUCGCGGAAUUCCCGGUGUAGAGGUGAAAUUCGUAGACAUCGGGAGGAACACCGGUGGCGAAGGCGGCGAUCUGGGUCGAUACUGACGCUGAGGUGCGAAAGCGUGGGGAGCAAACAGG
rnacentral:rRNA from 1 species